rnacentral:miRNA from 1 species
UCCGCAGCCGUCCCUAGU